UUUGUUCACUGUCUUGACAGGAACAUUGGACAGGAUUGAUGACACUGGCAGCAUUCACAGCCCAGUUGGACUUCCUCGGUCCUGCACUUUGCUCUCCCCGACCAGAGGCCUGUUUGAUCUGAGUGCCUUAUCUGAGUCUUCUCACUGUGAGCCAGGAGAGUCCGAAGCCCUGCAGCUGCAGGAGCGAGCACGCAGGCUUCUGCAGAAGAGUGAGCAGUCCAUAAGCUGUGGAUCUAGUGCAGUACCCAUCAGCUCUGUGGGUCUGGGCUGCUCUGAUUUCUCUUCCCCUGUAACUGUUGAUGAGCCUAUCCGACGGCCCAUAACACCUGGAUUUAUGGACUCGGCCAAUCUGCUGACAGUGCUCAAGCCAUCUGAAGGAAGUCCCCUUUCUGCUCAGCCUGCUCUAGGGACUGAGGAGCAAUGCUAUCGCCCUGAGGGUGACAUUUUGUUUCAGUGGCGUCUGAGGAGGAAGAUGGAGCAGGCCAGAGAGUGGAGUCAGACCCCCUCCUAUAGUUCACUUCUUCACAAGCCCUUACUGAGCAGACUGCCAGAGCAAAAGACACAGCUGAGCCCUGUGUUUGCUGAUCUGACCCAAAGAGCAAGCCUGUCUUUCACAGCUUCACCCAAAGAGGCGUCUUGCCCCCUGAGCACCCCAGUUACCCAAGAACCAGCACUCCACGUCUCCAACGCUGCUGUCCCUAAGCAAAGCCCUGAGUCCUGCAAGCAGACCUACCAUGAUUCUGUCACGUACAGUCACUCAGUUCCCCAGACCACUAAGGAAAGGGUCACUUGGCAUCCACAGGCCCACUGCACUGUCCCACGACCCCACACAAGAGGACAGAACAACUCCUUGGAGAGUUCAGCAGAGCCUCGCAGCAAGCACCAGUCGCCCUGCUCACCACUGCUCCAGCACUCUCAGAGCACAGAAGGGAAGGAAUAUGGGCUUCAACAUACAGGAGGGGUGGAGAGCACAGGUGUGGCACAGGUGAAAAGGGGCAGGAGAAAGACUGCACCAUCCAUCCAAAAGAAAAAAAUACAUGUUGGGGUUCAAGGUGGAAUUCAGAGCAGCUGUCACAAUGCCAAGGCCGGCCACAAGUGUGAAGGGGUCAGCCGUAAGACCAAAGAACCCAACCGCAAGAAUGAGCGCCACAGUAGAUGUCAAAGGUCAACAGAAGAUGUUUGUUCAAGAGAUCUUGCUCUGCCCCCCUCACCAAUAAGCAACACACUAGGACAGGUUGUGUCUGAGGUGCUGUUUCCUGGCCCUGAUUCCCCAGCCCAGGCUAGGACCUCCUGUCCCUCAUACACUCCCAGAUAUAGCUCCCCAACAUCUCCACAGUCUCCUACCUUGCCCCCUCAAAGCAUACCGCAGCCAUGCGAUGUCAUAGGUGAGCUCAUGCAGGAAGCACAAGACUCAGAUGGGUUGGAAUUUGAAGAUGAUCCCUUACUUUUAGUUCUCCGACAGCAGAGAAAAUGGGUGAAAGAGCAAAUUUGUGAGGUUGACGAGAUGCUGGAUGAACUCCAUGAAGAUUGACAUAUACUGUGAACUCAAGUAAGACAAGUGCACUUAAACAAUCAUGUGUAUCCUUACAAAUCAGUAGUUGUAGGUUGUAUGUAUUUUUUAUCUGCAAAAUUUGUGAAUGCAAU
ensembl:lncRNA